UACGUAGGGAGCAAGCGUUGUCCGGAAUCAUUGGGCGUAAAGCGCGCGUAGGCGGCCCUGUAAGUCCGUUGUGAAAGUCAAAGGCUCAACCUUUGAAAGCCGAUGGAUACUGCAGGGCUAGAGUCCGGAAGAGGCGAGUGGAAUUCCUGGUGUAGCGGUGGAAUGCGCAGAUAUCAGGAGGAACACCAGUGGCGAAGGCGGGACUCUGGGCCGAUACUGACGCUGAGGAGCGAAAGCGUGGGGAGCAAACAGG
rnacentral:rRNA from 1 species